GUGAGGAAUAUUGCGCAAUGGAGGCAACUCUGACGCAGCCAUGCCGCGUGCAGGAAGAAGGCGCUACGCGUUGUAAACUGCUUUUAACCGGGAAGAAACCCCAGGACGUGUCCUGGGUUGACGGUACCGGAGGAAUAAGCCCCGGCUAACUUCGUGCCAGCAGCCGCGGUAAUACGAAGGGUGCAAGCGUUAUCCGGAUUCAUUGGGUUUAAAGGGUGCGGAGGCGGAGCGUUAAGUCAGUGGUGAAAUCCUGCAGCUUAACUGUAGACGUGCCAUUGAUACUGGCGCUCUUAGGUGCGCUUGAAGUGGGCGGAAUGUGCCGUGUAGCGGUGAAAUGCUUAGAUAUGGCACAGAACACCAAUUGCGAAGGCAGCUCACUAAGGCGAUACUGACGCUGAGGCACGAAAGCGUGGGGAUCGAACAGGAUUAGAAACCCCGGUAGUCC
rnacentral:rRNA from 1 species